GGCCCCGUAGCUCAGUGGAUUAGAGCACUGGUCUUCGGAACCAGGUGUCGGGGGUUCGAAUCCCUCCGGGGUCGCCA
rnacentral:tRNA from 1 species